ACAUACGACCAUAGCUCGCAGAUCAUUGAGGGUCCCGUCCGCUCCCCUGUACACAAGCUGCGAAGCGCCGAACUAGUAGUUGGGUCGGUGACGACCAGCGAAUCCUCGGUGUUGUAUGUU
rfam:Pseudallescheria apiosperma strain IHEM 14462 SEQ_SAPIO_0087, whole genome shotgun sequence.